GGGGAUACACUUAGAGUCCCCUGCAUGAGGGUGUUAAUAGCGCUUGCCGAAAAGGCCAGGCGGCGUGGUUAGUGAAUC
rfam:Prevotella sp. CAG:520 genomic scaffold, scf119